UAAAACCUCAUUUUAAUGAGACAAUUGACCCUAGGCAUCACAUGAAACUUUUAUUUCCCAACUGUGGAAACAUUCCUGUGGAAAUACAUAUUCAAGUUUAAAACUCGUAAGCUCAAAAGAUCUAGGAUAUGUACUGUAAUGCCUUACUGGUAUCAUCUAACUUAUAAACAAAGAUAAUCCAAUGAGUGUGGGCAUUUCUAUUUCUACUGUAAAGGCAUAUCAAAUAAAGAAAAAAGUCUAAUAAUUGCAUAAAGGAAUAUAAAACUAUUUAUUAACCACUGUUCACCAGUAUUUACAAUAAAGUAAACAAUAUACAGUUGGAUAACAUUUAUGACAGCAGGUCCUA
rnacentral:lncRNA from 1 species